GACGUAGGGCGCGGAGCGUUGUCCGGAUUUAUUGGGCGUAAAGAGCUCGUAGGCGGCUUGUCGCGUCGAAUGUGAAAACCUAGCAGGCUCAACCUGCAGGCUUGCAUUCGAUACGGGCAGGCUCGAGUUCGGUAGGGGAGACUGGAAUUCCUGGUGUAGCGGUGAAAUGCGCAGAUAUCAGGAGGAACACCGGUGGCGAAGGCGGGUCUCUGGGCCGAUACUGACGCUGAGGAGCGAAAGCGUGGGGAGCGAACAGG
rnacentral:rRNA from 1 species